UAGUCCACGCCGUAAACGAUGAGCACUAGCUAUUGGAGGUAUUAACUCCUUCAGUGGCGCAGCUAACGCAUUAAGUGCUCCGCCUGGGGAGUACGGCCGCAAGGCUAAAACUCAAAGGAAUUGACGGGGGCCCGCACAAGCGGUGGAUUAUGUGGUUUAAUUCGAAGCAACGCGCAGAACCUUACCUAGGCUUGAAAUCCUCGGAAUUUGAUGUAAUUGUCGAAGUGCCCGCAAGGGAAUCGAGUGACAGGUGCUGCAUGGCUGUCGUCAGCUCGUGUUGUGAAAUGUUGGGUUAAGUCUCGCAACGAGCGCAACCCCUGUCUUUAGUUGCCAGCAUUAAGUUGGGCACUCUAGAGAGACUGCCUGGGUUAACCAGGAGGAAGGUGGGGAUGACGUCAAGUCCUCAUGGCCCUUAUGCCUAGGGCUACACACGUAAUACAAUGGUGCGCACAAAGGGAAGCGAACUCGCAAGGGGGAGCCGAAUCUCAAAAAGCGCAUCUC
rnacentral:rRNA from 1 species